rnacentral:sRNA from 1 species
GGGGUGGGGGGUAAUGGGGAAACUGGGGAAGAUGGGAGUGCUGGAGGAGAGUUGUGGGGUCCGAGGAGCACCUCGGCAUCUGGAGUCUGGCAGGAGUGUUGAAGGACUGAGGGGCUAGCUCGGGCAGGGCAAAGGCAGCAGGACCUGGGAGGAAGGAGCAUGGUGUGGUUCCCAGGCAUUGCAGAGGCUGGAAAACAUCGGUGUGGGGUUGAAGGGCCUGAGCUAGGGUUGGAGAGGAACGGGGAGCCAGACAUUCAUCCCGGUCACUUUUGGUUACAGGACGUGGCGGCUGGUCGGAUACAGGGGAGCUGCUGGGAAGGGUUCGACCCCAGACCUGGGCAGUGAAGGUGUAGCUGGCAGCGGUGGGCAGGUGAGGACCGCCGUCUGCUGGGCAGGUGAGUCUCCUUCUUCUCUCUUGGCCUCGCUGCACUGACCUUCUAAAAGGUUUAGAGAGCGAGGCCGCUGAGAAGAAGCAGCUGACCUCCCAACAGAAUGGCACAUAGAAAGGCAGGACAGUUAGCAAAGGAGACAUCGUCUCGGGGGGAGCCGAGACAGAACAAGGCUGGGGGACCAUUGGGCACCCCGGAGUGGAAAGAGCUUUUAGAGAGAAGAUAGAAGAGGUGCAGGGCUGCCAGUCAAGACUGAGGCUGCUGCCUCCAGGCAAGUGAUAGGAGGCCUUGGAGACAGUGGCAGAGACUAUGGGAUCCAGCAAGAGCAGAAGCAUUCUAGGCUGGGGUCAAACAGGGCAAGAUGGGGGUCACAGGACACAGAUGGGUCCCCAGCCGCCACCACAUCCCACCCACCGUAAUUCAUUUAGAAGCAGGUUCAAGAGUGGCUCUGGCAGGGCCUUCUGAGGCCUUUGCCAGAGCUUCGAUGGCCGGAGAACGGGAAAGAAGGGCAGUGCAGGGUGUCAACAGGAAGGGAACGGGGGCUGCAGGUAUCGGACUCCAGAGGGAUUUUACAGCAAGGAGGCUGCAGUGGGUCCAGCCUGCAGACACACCAUUCCCAUGAGGCACUGCGGCCCAGGGACUGGUGCGGAAAGGGCCCACAGUGGACUUGGUGCACUGUAUGCCCUAACCGCUCAGUCCCUGGGUCUGGCAUGACAGACAGAACAUUUCCAGGGGAGUCAAGGGCACAGGAUGAAGCCAGACAAGGCGAGGCAGGUGGGGCAGAAUGAAUGAGCUUUCUAGGGAGGGAGGUUGGGUGCAGGUAGAGCGAGGUAAAGCAGCUGGGGUGGUGAGCCAGCGAGGCACUGGCCUCCAGAGUCCGUGGCCAAGGAGGGCCUUGCGGGCGGCGACGGAGCAGUGAUCGGUGUCUCGGAGAGCUCGGACUGGAGACUAGGCCAGGUCUCUAGCAGAAGUGGAUGUGCCUGCCAGUCACUGAAGGCGAGGAUGACAGGUGUGGUCAACGUGAUAGAAAGACAUGACAUGGUCCGGUGUGAUGGAGAGGACAGAAGGACAGUCAUCCAGCCUUCCUGAACACCGUGGGCUGGUGCCGUGGGACACUGCCGUAGAAGCCGUCUGUUCUUUCCUUUGCCCAAAGAGCUAACACAUCUCUGCUGCUCUCUGGAUCCUCUUCCCCCUACCUUGAACCCUCAAGAUGAAAGAAAUGGUGCUACCCAGCUCAUGUCUGGGCCUUUGAAUCCGGGGACUUCUUUAAGUCCGUCUAGUUCUGAAUCAAGAAUAUGCUGCACUCAGAACCACUACACUACCUGCCUCAGGAAUCGGCUCGAAGGUAAAGCUGAAGGAACAGACGGUGACAACAUCUUGAAAGAGCAGACCCACACAGCACCCACCCACCCCUGAGACUCCAUCUUCAUGGCCAACUAACUCUGCCUGGCCCGGGAGACCACCACCCACAUCAUCCUGGAGCCAAGCCUCUAGCCCGGGAUGACUUCAUCAUCUCCCUCCUGUCUUUUUUCUUCUUCCUCCUUUCCUGUAACUCUAUAUUUCUUUCCUUUUGUUCCUUCUCUGCUUGAGAGACUCAAAGCAUCCGUGACUCUGCUCCCCCACUCACCCCUUUUGAAUUUGCACUAAGUCGAUUGCACUGGUUUGGAGUCCCGGAGAUAGCCUGAGUCUCUCCGUAUGGAUGUAUACAGCGAGUGUGUAGGCCCCUUUGGCUAUGCUGCCCCAGUGCCCGCCCGUCAUCCACUUCUGUCUGAGGGCAACUGGGUGUGGCCGUGCGCUUGAGGCCUCACCUUCCCCUUGCCUAGUCUGGAAGCAGUUCCAUCAUAAAGUGUUCAACGCACCUUCCUUCAUCCUUUGUCCCUCCUCACCAGGGCCUCACCAGAGGUCCUGGGUCCACCAAUAAAUACAGUUACAGUCA